GAUUAACGCUAGCGGCAGGCCUAAUACAUGCAAGUUGUACGGGAUUAUUGGUAGCAAUACUGAUAUGAGAGUAGCGCACGGGUGCGUAACACGUAUGCAACCUACCUUUAACUGGGGAAUAGCUCACCGAAAGGUGAAUUAACACCGCAUAAAAUCACAGAAGGACAUCCUUUAAUGAUUAAAUCUCCGGAGGUUAAAGAUGGGCAUGCGUCCGAUUAGCUAGNGGC
rnacentral:rRNA from 1 species